CACAGGGUUAGCCGGUGCUUGCUAAGGAGGUACCGUCAGGAUCCGGGUGAUUAGCCCCAGAUUUGUUCGUCCCUCCCCACAGAGCUUUACGACCCGAAGGCCUUCAUCACUCACGCGGCGUGGCUGGGUCAGGCUUUCGCCCAUUGCCCAAUAUUCCCCACUGCUGCCUCCCGUAGGAGUCUGGGCCGUGUCGCAGUCCCAGUGUGGCUGAUCAUCCUCUCAGACCAGCUACCCGUCUUUGCCUUGGUGAGCCGUUACCUCACCAACUAGCUGAUGGGACGCGGGCUCAUCUUCCGGUGAUAGCUUCCAAGGAGAGGCCAUCUUUCCCAACAGCGCCCGUAGGCGCCGCUGACGUACGCGGUAUUAGCAAUCCUUCGGACUGUUCGUCCCCCGCCGGAAGGUAGACUUACCCACGUUGUUACGCCACCCGUCCGCCUACUUUACUAGUAGACCGAAGUCUACAUUCUCGUUCGACUUGCAUGUGUUACGGCCCGCGCUACGUUCGCUCUGAGCC
rnacentral:rRNA from 1 species